rnacentral:misc_RNA from 1 species
UACGGAGGGGGCUAGCGUUAUUCGGAAUCAUUGGGCGUAAAGGGCGCGUAGGCGGCUUUGCAAGUCAGAGGUGAAAUCCCUCGGCUCAACCGAGGAAUUGCCUCUGAAACUGCAAAGCUUGAGGCCGGGAGGGGGUAGCGGAAUUCCCAGUGUAGCGGUGAAAUGCGUAGAUAUUGGGAGGAACACCAGUGGCGAAGGCGGCUACCUGGACCGGUUCUGACGCUGAUGCGCGAAAGCGUGGGGAGCAAACAGG